rnacentral:rRNA from 1 species
UACCCCAUGCCAAGUCGAGCGGGCGAGGUUGCUUCGGUAACUGAGCUAGCGGCGGACGGGUGAGUAAAGCUUAGGAAUCUGCCUAUUAGUGGGGGACAACAUUCCGAAAGGGAUGCUAAUACCGCAUACGUCCUACGGGAGAAAGCAGGGGAUCACUUGUGACCUUGCGCUAAUAGAUGAGCCUAAGUCGGAUUAGCUAGUUGGUGGGGUAAAGGCCUACCAAGGCGACGAUCUGUAGCGGGUCUGAGAGGAUGAUCCGCCACACUGGGACUGAGACACGGCCCAGACUCCUACGGGAGGCAGCAGUGGGGAAUAUUGGACAAUGGGGGGAACCCUGAUCCAGCCAUGCCGCGUGUGUGAAGAAGGCCUUUUGGUUGUAAAGCACUUUAAGCGAGGAGGAGGCUUACCUGGUUAAUACCUGGGAUAAGUGGACGUUACUCGCAGAAUAAGCACCGGCUAACUCUGUGCCAGCAGCCGCGGUAAUACAGAGGGUGCGAGCGUUAAUCGGAUUUACUGGGCGUAAAGCGCGCGUAGGUGGUUAAUUAAGUCAAAUGUGAAAUCCCCGAGCUUAACUUGGGAAUUGCAUUCGAUACUGGUUAGCUAGAGUAUGGGAGAGGAUGGUAGAAUUCCAGGUGUAGCGGUGAAAUGCGUAGAGAUCUGGAGGAAUACCGAUGGCGAAGGCAGCCAUCUGGCCUAAUACUGACACUGAGGUGCGAAAGCAUGGGGAGCAAACAGGAUUAGAUACCCUGGUAGUCCAUGCCGUAAACGAUGUCUACUAGCCGUUGGGGGAUUUGAUCCUUUAGUGGCGCAGCUAACGCGAUAAGUAGACCGCCUGGGGAGUACGGUCGCAAGACUAAAACUCAAAUGAAUUGACGGGGGCCCGCACAAGCGGUGGAGCAUGUGGUUUAAUUCGAUGCAACGCGAAGAACCUUACCUGGCCUUGACAUAGUAGAGACUUUCCAGAGAUGGAUUGGUGCCUUCGGGAAUCUACAUACAGGUG